CGCAUCUGUGCAUGCAGCAUAUCAAUAAGCGGAGGAAAAGAAACUAACAAGGAUUCCCUUAGUAACGGCGAGUGAAGCGGGAAGAGCUCAAAUUUGAAAUCUUCAAGGUUUUACCUUGACGAAUUGUAGUUUAAAGAAGUGUUUUCUGCUGAAGUUUUGGUAAAAGUUCUUUGGAAUAGGACAUCAUAGAGGGUGAGAAUCCCGUAUUUGACCAUUAUUUUCAGCUUUGUGAUACACUUUCAAAGAGUCGGAUUGUUUGGGAAUGCAGUCCAAAAUGGGUGGUAAAUUUCAUCUAAAGCUAAAUAUUGGCGAGAGACCGAUAGCGAACAAGUACCGUGAGGGAAAGAUGAAGAGAACUUUGAAAAGAGAGUUAAACAGUACGUGAAAUUGUCAAAAGGGAAGCGUUUGACACCAGUGUUGUUUUCUCGAAAAUCAAUUAAAAAUGGCUCGAUUUUGUAUUGCUGAGACCUUAAAAGCUCACUGUACAUUUUUCAAUGUCUUUUUUAAUGCACUUUUCGUUUAACAAGUCAACAUCAGUUUCUUUUGUUGUAAAAGGGUCAUUGGAAGGUGGCUUUCUUUUCGGAGAAAGUGUUUAUAGCCUUUGGCCUCUGCAAUCGAAGAGACUGAGGUCUGCAGCGUAGACUCUUCGGGGUUAGAUACAUUUGUGCUAAGUUAUAGCUUUUUAUAGACAACUUGUUGACUAUAAUUAGUCUUGUAGCUUACUCGCUUAUGCUAUUUUACCUACGCUUAGGAUGUUGACGCAUGAGAUAUACGC
rnacentral:rRNA from 1 species